UACAGAGGUCCCAAGCGUUGUUCGGAUUUACUGGGCGUAAAGGGUGCGUAGGUGGUCGGGUAAGUCUCGUGUGAAAUCUCCAAGCUUAACUUGGAAAUGGCAUGGGAUACUAUUCGGCUAGAGGAUUGGAGGGGGGACUGGAAUUCCCGGUGUAGCAGUGAAAUGCGUAGAUAUCGGGAGGAACACCAGUGGCGAAGGCGAGUCCCUGGACAAUUCCUGACGCUGAGGCACGAAAGCUAGGGGAGCAAACAGG
rnacentral:rRNA from 1 species